rnacentral:rRNA from 1 species
UGCAGUCGAGCGGUAACAUUUCUAGCUUGCUAGAAGAUGACGAGCGGCGGACGGGUGAGUAAUGCUUGGGAAUAUGCCUUAUGGUGGGGGACAACAGUUGGAAACGACUGCUAAUACCGCAUAAUGUCUACGGACCAAAGGGGGGGAUCUUCGGACCUCUCGCCAUUUGAUUAGCCCAAGUGAGAUUAGGUAGUUGGUGUGGUAAUGGCGCACCAAGCCGACGAUCCUUAGCUGGUCUGAGAGGAUGAUCAGCCACACUGGGACUGAGACACGGCCCAGACUCCUACGGGAGGCAGCAGUAGGGAAUAUUGGACAAUGGGCGAAAGCCUGAUCCAGCAAUGCCGCGUGAGUGAUGAAGGCCUUAGGGUUGUAAAGCUCUUUUACCAGGGAUGAUAAUGACAGUACCUGGAGAAUAAGCUCCGGCUAACUCCGUGCCAGCAGCCGCGGUAAUACGGAGGGAGCUAGCGUUGUUCGGAAUUACUGGGCGUAAAGCGCGCGUAGGCGGCUAUCCAAGUCAGGGGUGAAAUCCCGGGGCUCAACCCCGGAACUGCCUCUGAAACUAGGUAGCUAGAAUACUGGAGAGGUGAGUGGAAUUCCGAGUGUAGAGGUGAAAUUCGUAGAUAUUC